rnacentral:rRNA from 1 species
AGACCCGAAACCCGGUGAUCUAGCCAUGGGCAGGUUGAAGGUUGGGUAACACUAACUGGAGGACCGAACCGACUAAUGUUGAAAAAUUAGCGGAUGACCUGUGGCUGGGGGUGAAAGGCCAAUCAAACCGGGAGAUAGCUGGUUCUCCCCGAAAGCUAUUUAGGUAGCGCCUCGUGAAUUCAUCUCCGGGGGUAGAGCACUGUUUCGGCUAGGGGGCCAUCCCGGCUUACCAACCCGAUGCAAACUGCGAAUACCGGAGAAUGUUAUCACGGGAGACACACGGCGGGUGCUAACGUCCGUCGUGAAGAGGGAAACAACCCAGACCGCCAGCUAAGGUCCCAAAGUCAUGGUUAAGUGGGAAACGAUGUGGGAAGGCCCAGACAGCCAGGAUGUUGGCUUAGAAGCAGCCAUCAUUUAAAGAAAGCGUAAUAGCUCACUGGUCGAGUCGGCCUGCGCGGAAGAUGUAACGGGGCUAAACCAUGCACCGAAGCUGCGGCAGCGAACGUAUCACCCAAGACAACUUUACGGAGUUGACGAUUGACGGAGCGAAGCGACGUCAAAGCGUUCAUUAAAGUCGAGUUGGCUUAGGGAUACGUUCGUUGGGUAGGGGAGCGUUCUGUAAGCCUGUGAAGGUGUGUCGUGAGGCAUGCUGGAGGUAUCAGAAGUGCGAAUGCUGACAUAAGUAACGAUAAAGCGGGUGAAAAGCCCGCUCGCCGGAAGACCAAGGGUUCCUGUCCAACGUUAAUCGGGGCAGGGUGAGUCGACCCCUAAGGCGAGGCCGAAAGGCGUAGUCGAUGGGAAACGGGUUAAUAUUCCCGUACUUGGUGUUACUGCGAAGGGGGGACGGAGAAGGCUAUGUUGGCCGGGCGACGGUUGUCCCGGUUUAAGCGUGUAGGUGUGUGUUCCAGGUAAAUCCGGUUCACUUUAACACUGAGGCGUGAUGACGAGGCACUACGGUGCUGAAGCAACAAAUGCCCUGCUUCCAGGAAAAGCCUCUAAGCAUCAGGUAACAUCAAAUCGUACCCCAAACCGACACAGGUGGUCAGGUAGAGAAUACCAAGGCGCUUGAGAGAACUCGGGUGAAGGAACUAGGCAAAAUGGUGCCGUAACUUCGGGAGAAGGCACGCUGACACGUAGGUGAAGUGAUUUACUCACGGAGCUGAAGUCAGUCGAAGAUACCAGCUGGCUGCAACUGUUUAUUAAAAACACAGCACUGUGCAAACACGAAAGUGGACGUAUACGGUGUGACGCCUGCCCGGUGCCGGAAGGUUAAUUGAUGGGGUCAGCGCAAGCGAAGCUCCUGAUCGAAGCCCCGGUAAACGGCGGCCGUAACUAUAACGGUCCUAAGGUAGCGAAAUUCCUUGUCGGGUAAGUUCCGACCUGCACGAAUGGCGUAAUGAUGGCCAGGCUGUCUCCACCCGAGACUCAGUGAAAUUGAACUCGCUGUGAAGAUGCAGUGUACCCGCGGCAAGACGGAAAGACCCCGUGAACCUUUACUAUAGCUUGACACUGAACAUUGAGCCUUGAUGUGUAGGAUAGGUGGGAGGCUUUGAAGUGUGGACGCCAGUCUGCAUGGAGCCGACCUUGAAAUACCACCCUUUAAUGUUUGAUGUUCUAACGUGGACCCGUAAUCCGGGUUGCGGACAGUGUCUGGUGGGUAGUUUGACUGGGGCGGUCUCCUCCUAAAGAGUAACGGAGGAGCACG